rfam:Beauveria bassiana D1-5 contig00585, whole genome shotgun sequence.
GCCUGGUUAGCUCAAUCGGUAGAGCGUGAGACUCUUAACAAAGAGCAUUCACACAAUCUCAAGGCUGCGGGUUCGACCCCCGCAUCGGGCU